CGCUGGAACUCGGAUUAAGCUGUUUACAUGUCCGAAUAAUUCGGAAGAUUUCGGUGUACGUUAAUUUACAUUUUUACCUUACAGAUAAGCAGAGUAAGGUUUUUACAUGACCAUUUCCAUAGUCGGCGUAAGCAGUUUAAUAUAGGAUUAUUAAUAUGCAUGUAAACGUACAUCAAUGUCUUACAUGAAAACCUUGGUCUGAUCUCAGCUGUAAACGAAUAUAGCUCGUCUUUCUUUUAAAUCGAAUACUUGCCCCAUAGAAGACAGUCAAGUCGCAGUCAGUGAGAAUUCCAACAACUGUAGACGGAUGGAAUCAUGUGAGAAUGCUGCGGUCAGCUGAUCAAAACAACGAACGGACUCGCGGAAGCGAAAUAGGAUACACGUAACAAAGAACAAUGAUGUUUUAGCGGAUGUAUAAAUCUGAAGCAUCCGGUUAGCGUUUCCACUCGGAGCAAAGCUCUCGUAGAAACUUGCGGAUAGGAGGUUCUGAGGACUGGCAGAGAGCGUUAGCUCCAGAGGCGGAGGAGGGUGGUGGUUGGAAGAGCGCCACGGCAGUUCUUGAUAAAGAAGAACUUCAAGGCUGCGUUUCAAAGUCAACAUACGGUCAAAAGACACACCCUCGCCCAUUUACGCUUAGAGGAAUCCUCGUCGCCAUUUUGGUGGUUGGUCCAAAUGAUUAGCCAAGCAAGGGACGUUUGCAAACAAAUGAGGUGUGGCUUGCAGAACAUCCUGCUCAUCCCAUGAGAAGCAGAACAUGAUCAAUGCCACUUGCAGCAAGGAGAUCUUCUGGAAUGGAUGUACUCUCACUCUGGGGGUAAGAUAAUUUAAACAUCACAGAUCUAUAAUCCUACUGUGCACAUGAUAAAAUGCAAUAUGAUUUGUGUUGUACUACUGAAUGAAACUGAAGAGAUGCACUCAGACCAGCCUUUGUGAUUGAACUUAUGUUAAUUAUAUUACUUUAGUAGGCUGCUUUGAGCAAAACUUGAAUAUAAUAACCUAUUCUAGGAGCCUAUUAUUUGUUUCCAGACAACACCCCAUCCAACGACUGUGAACACCUUGAAAUGUAUGCAUUUUAAGAAAUGUGAUACAAAAAUAGUUUGAUUUGAUUGAUGACUACAGCUGUAUAAUAUUUAAUAAACUGUAAAGUGCGGUUUUUCCAUAAACUUUUAAUUGAUAACUUGGGAUUUUGUCACUUGACAUAUCAAUCAUACAGUGGGAAGGAUCCUAUAAAUCAAGACUGUGUGGAUGCAUGUACCUCUGAAUAAAUAAAUACAAUAAAGUCUGAUGUCUAAACAAAGUCGAUUCUGAAUGUCAAUUAGUUUUGGAUUAAUUCUCAUCAAUGACAACAUUCUAGAGCUGAGUUAUCACUAAUCGAAGUCUGGUAUCCGGAGUAAUCUGGUUAUUGAUUUUUUGAUUAAGUGUCUCUUUCCUUAUAGAAUGUUGACAGCUGUAUAGAACAAAUUGUAUUGCUAUGGUGCUCAAAGCUUAAUAGGUUGCAUGUUCAAAUCCAGCUAUGUAUUUUUGUUUUAAGCCUAUCCUCAACCUUAACCAUUGCGGUAAUGCCUAACCUUAAGAUUUCAGAGUUAAUGACUUGAACUUAACCUUAAACUCUUCGAAAUUUGACUUUUGAGAAACAUGGAUGAACGUCUACUUUCUAACUUGAGACUGCGAGAGCUUGUUGGCUUUUUUUGCAUGUGACUACUCAUGUUUGUUAAUAACAAAUAAACAUAAAUAAAUGUG